rnacentral:rRNA from 1 species
GAACGCUGGCGGCGUGCUUAACACAUGCAAGUCGAACGAGAAGAGAUGAGAAGCUUGCUUCUUAUUAAUUCGAGUGGCAAACGGGUGAGUAACGCGUAAGCAACCUGCCCUUCAGAUGGGGACAACAGCUGGAAACGGCUGCUAAUACCGAAUACGUUCUUUUUGUCGCAUGGCAGAGGGAAGAAAGGGAGGCUCUUCGGAGCUUUCGCUGAAGGAGGGGCUUGCGUCUGAUUAGCUAGUUGGAGGGGUAACGGCCCACCAAGGCGACGAUCAGUAGCCGGUCUGAGAGGAUGAACGGCCACAUUGGGACUGAGACACGGCCCAGACUCCUACGGGAGGCAGCAGUGGGGAAUCUUCCGCAAUGGACGAAAGUCUGACGGAGCAACGCCGCGUGAACGAUGACGGCCUUCGGGUUGUAAAGUUCUGUUAUACGGGACGAAUGGCGUAGCGGUCAAUACCCGUUACGAGUGACGGUACCGUAAGAGAAAGCCACGGCUAACUACGUG